rnacentral:rRNA from 1 species
CUUAAUUUAAAAUGUUUCUAAAGUAGUAAAUAAGAAACUUAAAAUUUUGACAGUAUUUAAUUUUCUAGAGGAAUAUGUAGUUUAAUCGUCAUUACUCGUUUAAUCUUACUUGUUUUAUUUUUGUAUAUCUCCGUUGUCAGAUUUUAUUUUAAAUUAAAAUAAUUUUCUUAAAAAUUAAAUUUAAUACUUCAGGUCAAGGUGCAGAAUGAAUAAGAUAUUAUGUAUUACAAUCAAAAUAUUGAAAUGGAUUAUAUUUGAAAAUUUCUUUGAAAAAGAAUUUAUAAGUAAAGAAAAAUAGAAAAUUUACUUGAAAAUUUAUUAAAUAUGU